rnacentral:misc_RNA from 1 species
CUCAUGGCCUGGCGGUGGAGG